rnacentral:rRNA from 1 species
UACGAAGGGGGCUAGCGUUGUUCGGAUUAACUGGGCGUAAAGGGUGCGUAGGCGGGGUUUUAAGUCAGGGGUGAAAUGCCGAGGCUCAACUUCGGAACUGCCUUUGAUACUGGAACUCUUUGAGUCUGGGAGAGGUGAGUGGAACUGCGAGUGUAGAGGUGAAAUUCGUAGAUAUUCGCAAGAACACCAGUGGCGAAGGCGGCUCACUGGCCCGGAACUGACGCUGAGGCACGAAAGCGUGGGGAGCAAACAGG